CGGGGCGUAGCUCAGCCUGGUAGAGCGCUUGCCUUGGGCGCAAGAGGCCGUCGGUUCGAAUCCGGCCGCCCCGACCA
rnacentral:tRNA from 4 species